rnacentral:rRNA from 1 species
AGAGCGAACGCUGGCGGCAGGCCUAAUACAUGCAAGUCGAACGGAUCCUUCGGGAUUAGUGGCGGACGGGUGAGUAACACGUGGGAACGUGCCCUUUGGUUCGGAACAACUCAGGGAAACUUGAGCUAAUACCGAAUGUGCCCUUCGGGGGAAAGAUUUAUCGCCAUUGGAGCGGCCCGCGUCUGAUUAGCUAGUUGGUAGGGUAAAGGCCUACCAAGGCUACGAUCAGUAGCUGGUCUGAGAGGAUGAUCAGCCACACUGGGACUGAGACACGGCCCAGACUCCUACGGGAGGCAGCAGUAGGGAAUCUUGCGCAAUGGGCGAAAGCCUGACGCAGCCAUGCCGCGUGAAUGAUGAAGGUCUUAGGAUUGUAAAAUUCUUUCAGCGGGGACGAUAAUGACGGUACCCGCAGAAGAAGCCCGGACUAACUCGUGCCAGCAGCCGC